rnacentral:lncRNA from 1 species
UCCAGCCCACACAAGGACAAAAACAUUUUCUGUGGUAAAUGAUAGAGGCAGUUAGUUACAUUAGAAGAGAGACCUCACCAAUAUCAGCCCUGUAGUGGGCCCCAGGAAAAUGAUUUGGUCCCUAGUCCUUGCUUUUCUUGAGAUAGAUACAUUUUUGGAAGGACCAAAGAACCAAUUAUAUUUGUGUUAACUUAGUACCCAAUGUCCUAUUCUAGCAUAUUAACCGAAGGCCUUCAGGUUAUGUGAAACAAAAGAAUUUUGUGAGUGUUCACCUGGGCUUCAGGACAUGGGAGGUUCCAGGCAACCAGAACAGCCUGACGCACACUGAAGGAGCAAUCAGACUGGGUUUGGUCUCAAAUCUGUGACUUCAGGCAAGUUACAGAUUUCUCCAAACUCCAGUUUUCUCAUCUGCAAAAUGGUGAUGAUGAUAUCUGUCUUGUUAUCUUACUAGGUUGUUAGAAGGACUGAAUGAGAUGAAGUAGAGGAAAGUCUUCUAGGACAGGGGUCCUCAACCCUUGGGCCACAGACUGGUGGCAGGAGGGCUGCACAGCAGGUGAGCAGUGGGUGAGUGAGCAAAGCUUCCUCUGUUCACAGCCUCUCACCGUCACUCACACUACCACCUGAGCUCUGCCUCCUGUCAGAUCAGCAGCAGCAUUAGAUUCUCACGUGAGUGUGAACCCUAUUGUGAACUGCAUAUGCGAGGGAUCUAGGUUGCAUGUUCCUUAUGAGAAUCUAAUGCCUGAUGAUCUGUCAUUGUCUCCCAUCACCCCCAGAUGGGAUGCCUGGUUGCAAGAAAACAAGCUCAGGGCUCCCACAGAUUCUACGUGAUGCAGUUUUCACAGAUUUGUGGCCAGAUGCUAGAGACAAAGGCUGAGAAGUUGUCCAGGACGUCAUAUUCUUGCUUUGCUGGAGGCAGAUCUGAAGGAUGUCAUCUCUCCUGUGGCUUCUUCUAGUGUGGGGUCCCGAAGCCUGGCUUCCCCAGCCGAUGUGCUGCUUUAGUCAGCGUCUGCCCUGGUCCUUCGGUUCGCAGGCUCACACGCUUUUUUGGGUUGUGUCCCUUUGGACUGCAGAGGCUACGUGUCCUGUGACCAACCACGAAGGCGGCCACUCCCGCUCCCCUCAGGAGUGUCUUAAAAUACCUCCAUUUUAGCUACCCUAUUGAAUGACAGGUUAGCUGGGUGCUGGGUUUUCAGGUGAUGGACAUUUUCCCUCAGUCCUCUGAAGGUGUUGCUGGCUUCAGGCAUUGAUGCCGCCACUCUGAUUGUUGUAUGCAGUGAGCAAACUAGAAUUUUCUCUUGGCUUUCUAGAUUUUCUUCUUUAUAUUCUGAAACUUUAUUAUAUCAAGGUUUGAAUUUUAUUUUUUUUGGAGACAGGGUCCUACUCUGUCAUCCAGGCUGGAGUGCAAUGGUGCAGUCCUGCUCACUGCAGCCUCCAAGUCCAGGGCUGAAGCGAUCCUUCUGCCUCAGCCUCCUAAGUAGCUGGGAUCACAGGUGUGCACCACUCUGCCUAACAAGGCUUGUUUUUUGUUUGUUUGUUUGUUUUAAAUAAAUACAUUCAGAUUGUUUUGCCCCUUGAUGAGUUUUUCAGUCUGCAUAGUCCUGUCAUUUUUUCACUUCUGGAAAAUUCUUAGUCAUGAUUUCUGCAAAUAUUUCCUCUCAUUCUGUUUUUUCCUUCUGGAACUCUUUCAUUACCUUUUUGUAGUCAUCUCUUUAUUUCCCUAUACUGCAUUUUUUAAUGGUUUCUUCUGUUCUGUUUUUACAAAUUCUAUCUAUCUUCACAUGGAUUUAGUCUAUUUUUUACUUUUACUCAUUAAUUUAAAAAUACAUUUAACUCCAUUUUCACUAAUGAGGGUGUAUGUGCAUUUAGUUUUUACUUUUAAAGAAGCAGGGUCUUGCUCUGCUGUUGAGGCUGGUAUUGAACUCCUGGGGCUCAAGCAGUGCAAGGAGCUGAGACUACAGGCAUGCGCUACCAC